rnacentral:rRNA from 1 species
GAUUAUCCUACUCGGAUAACUGUGGCAAUUCUAGAGCUAAUACACGCAAUAAGGCUCGGACCUUUCGGGACGAGCGCAUUUAUUAGACCAAAACCAAUCGGGCUUCGGCCUGAGCUUUGGUGACUCUGAAUAACUAAGCUGAUCGCACGGUCUUAGUACCGGCGACGCAUCUUUCAAGUGUCUGCCUUAUCAACUUUCGAUGGUAGUUUAUGUGCCUACCAUGGUUGUAACGGGUAACGGAGAAUAAGGGUUCGACUCCGGAGAGGGAGCCUGAGAAACGGCUACCACAUCCAAGGAAGGCAGCAGGCGCGCAAAUUACCCACUCUCGGCACGAGGAGGUAGUGACGAAAAAUAAACGAGGCUGGUACUGUUAGAGGCCCGCCAUCGGAAUGGGUACAA